AUGAACGCUGGCGGCGUGCUUAACACAUGCAAGUCGAACGGAAAGGCCCAAGCUUGCUUGGGUACUCGAGUGGCGAACGGGUGAGUAACACGUGGGUGAUCUGCCCUGCACUUCGGGAUAAGCCUGGGAAACUGGGUCUAAUACCGGAUAGGACCACAUUUUGGAUGGUGUGGUGGAAAGUUUUUCGGUGUGGGAUGAGCUCGCGGCCUAUCAGCUUGUUGGUGGGGUAAUGGCCCACCAAGGCGUCGACGGGUAGCCGGCCUGAGAGGGUGUACGGCCACAUUGGGACUGAGAUACGGCCCAGACUCCUACGGGAGGCAGCAGUGGGGAAUAUUGCACAAUGGGCGCAAGCCUGAUGCAGCGACGCCGCGUGGGGGAUGACGGCCUUCGGGUUGUAAACUCCUUUCGCUAGGGACGAAGCGUUAUGUGACGGUACCUGGAGAAGAAGCACCGGCUAACUACGUG
rnacentral:rRNA from 1 species